rnacentral:rRNA from 1 species
AACGCUAGCUACAGGCUUAACACAUGCAAGUCGAGGGGCAGCAUGGUCUUAGCUUGCUAAGGCCGAUGGCGACCGGCGCACGGGUGAGUAACACGUAUCCAACCUGCCGUCUACUCUUGGACAGCCUUCUGAAAGGAAGAUUAAUACAAGAUGGCAUCAUGAGUCCGCAUGUUCACAUGAUUAAAGGUAUUCCGGUAGACGAUGGGGAUGCGUUCCAUUAGAUAGUAGGCGGGGUAACGGCCCACCUAGUCUUCGAUGGAUAGGGGUUCUGAGAGGAAGGUCCCCCACAUUGGAACUGAGACACGGUCCAAACUCCUACGGGAGGCAGCAGUGAGGAAUAUUGGUCAAUGGGCGAGAGCCUGAACCAGCCAAGUAGCGUGAAGGAUGACUGCCCUAUGGGUUGUAAACUUCUUUUAUAAAGGAAUAAAGUCGGGUAUGGAUACCCGUUUGCAUGUACUUUAUGAAUAAGGAUCGGCUAACUCCGUGCCAGCAGCCGCGGUAAUACAGAGGAUCCGAGCGUUAUCCGGAUUUAUUGGGUUUAAAGGGAGCGUAGAUGGAUGUUUAAGUCAGUUGUGAAAGUUUGCGGCUCAACCGUAAAAUUGCAGUUGAUACUGGAUAUCUUGAGUGCAGUUGAGGCAGGCGGAAUUCGUGGUGUAGCGGUGAAAUGCUUAGAUAUCACGAAGAACUCCGAUUG